rnacentral:lncRNA from 1 species
AUUUGAGCAUAUGUUCUAGAGAUUCAGUCAGAAUAUGAAUGCUAUACAAUCUAAACACUAUAAAGCAACCUGGUCAUGAGGUGAUCUACGUACUCUCUUUGGACGUGAAAAAUUAUAUCAACGUUCCAUGAUGGUGAGCUGUUCUUCUGGUGUGAUAUUUCCCCGUCGCACAUCAGGUCGGAGGUAGUUCAGCCACCGGAGCCGGCAACUUUUCCCGAUUUGGCGAGAGAGUUCCAAACACCUUCACCAUGAUUGGCGAUAUAAUUGAUGAGAAUCAAAUCUUCUUCCAUCGUCCAUGGCCCUUUUCUCACCUCUGCAUCUCCUGAUCCAGACCCACCACUACUUUCUCUUUUCUCCAUUUUUAUGAAAUGAAUCUAAAUAAGUACUCUAUAUAAUUGAUAGAUGAUGAUAUUUUUCUAGAGAGAGAAAUAGAAAGGGAGAGUUGUGAAAGUGAGAGAGAGAGUUGAUAUUUUGAGGUGGUGGGCAGGUAGCUACUGCUUUUAUAGAGAAGGUUUUUCAAGAGUUUAAGGCAUUGUUAAUAACCUUUAAUCCAAAAUCUUAAAUGUCUUUUAGAUA